CUGCCGCGCUUCGCCCCACUGGUAGUGCGGGUCCCACCCACCCGGACCGCAGCCUUCGCCCAAAGCCGUAGGUGGUUUUCGUCUGCCUCGCCAGCGUGAGGACACGCAAACUGGGAUUUGAGAAGAUUGCGAUCAUCCUUUUAAAAAAUAAAAGUCUUUGGAACCCCAGGCGUAGGGUUCUGCUGACUUAGGAGAAGUUACAGCUGAAGCGCAUUCAUUGUGAUUGGUAAUCAUUUAAGGUUAGCGUGAUGGCGAAAGCCUGUGGGUAUUUUCAGCUCAUCCUCCAGAGCAGGAAAAGGAGCCCACUGGAGGUAGAAGACAGCUGAGACUUCACCCUGUACCGGAAGCCUGAAGGCUCCAGACGGAGCCCCAACUUUUCAGCCUGUGCCUGUGACCUCUUGCAGACUUCUGCUCCGCUGCCUGGUCCCUGUCCUCUGGUGGCCGGGAGAUGUUACUGCAACUUCACUGGGAUUACUGGAGCUCUAACCACAGACCUGCAGUUUUUAGAACAAGUUUGGAGGAGCCAAAUCCAGCUUAAGUGGAAGGGACCCUGCAGGCCGAUCCUAUGGAA
ensembl:lncRNA